GUGGCGGAAAGCAAAGUCCCUGCGAACCCCGUCACCCGCGUGCGGUGUGGAACCUGGCGCCACGUCCCUGCGUCCCUUGGGGGUCUGGGAACAUGGCCCGAAGGGCUCUCAAGCUUGCUUCGUGGACCAGCGCGGCUCUGGCUGCCUCGGGCUUCUGCCUCUACAGUAACAAGUACUUGGAUCCCAGUGACUUCGGCGCUGUCAGGGUGGGCAGGGCCGUUGCCACGACAGCUGUCAUCAGUUAUGACUAUCUCACCUCCCUGAGGAGUGUCCCCUAUGGUUCAGAGGAGUACUUGCGGCUUCGAUCCAAGGUGCACCUCCGUUCUGCCAGGCGUCUCUGUGAGCUGUGCUGUGCCAACCGGGGCACUUUCAUCAAGGUGGGCCAGCACCUGGGGGCCCUGGACUACCUGCUGCCGGAGGAGUACACCAGCACGCUGAAGGUGCUCCACAGCCAGGCCCCGCGGAGCAGCAUACAAGAGGUCCGCCAGGUCAUCCGCGAAGACCUGGGCCAGGAGAUUCAGGAUUUGUUUGUGAGCUUUGAUGACACCCCUCUGGGGGCCGCCUCCCUGGCCCAGGUCCACAAGGCGGUGCUGCGUGAUGGGCGGACAGUGGCCGUGAAGGUCCAGCAUCCAAAGGUUCAGGCUCAGAGCUCAAAGGACAUUCUCCUGAUGGAGGUGCUUGUCCUGGCUGUGAAGCAGCUGUUUCCAGAGUUUGAGUUCAUGUGGCUGGUGGACGAAGCCAAGAAGAACCUGCCUUUGGAGCUGGAUUUCCUCAAUGAAGGGAGGAAUGCUGAGAAAGUGGCCCAAAUGCUCAAACACUUUGACUUCUUAAAGGUCCCCCGCAUCUACUGGGAGCUGUCCACCAAGCGGGUCCUUCUGAUGGAGUUUGUGGACGGCGGCCAGGUCAAUGACAGAGACUACAUGGAGAGAAACAAGAUUGACGUCAACGAGAUCUCGCGCCACCUGGGCAAGAUGUACAGUGAGAUGAUUUUUGUCAAUGGCUUCGUGCACUGCGACCCGCACCCCGGCAACGUGCUGGUGCGGAAGCGCCCGGACACAGGGAAGGCGGAGAUCAUCCUGCUGGACCACGGGCUCUACCAGGUGCUCACAGACGACUUCCGCCUGGAUUACUGCCACCUCUGGCAGUCGCUGAUCUGGACUGACAUGGAGAAGGUGAAGAAGUACAGCCAGCGCCUGGGAGCCGGGGAGCUCUACCCCUUGUUUGCCUGCAUGCUGACUGCCCGGUCUUGGGACUCGGUCAACAGGGGCAUUGGCCAAGCUCCGGUCACCGCCACAGAGGACGCAGAGAUCCGCGACAAUGCAGCCAGCUACCUCCCCCAGAUCAGCCAGCUCCUCAACCAUGUGCCUCGCCAGAUGCUGCUCAUCUUCAAGACCAACGACCUGCUCCGUGGCAUUGAGGUCGCCCUGGGCACCCGUGCCAGGGCCAGCUCCUUCCUCAGCAUGUCACGUUGCUGCAUCAGAGCGCUGGCUGCGCACAAGAAGAAGAACGCCUGCUCGUUCUUCAGAAGGACCCAGAUCUCUUUCAGAGAGGCCUUCAACUUAUGGCAGAUCAACCUUCAUGAACUCAUUCUGCGUGUGAAGGAGUUGAGUCAAGAUCAGUCAGAACCGAAUCCCACCAACAACUUUAAUGAGGUUAGAAGAGGAGCCCGGACUCCAGAUGACAAUGUAGCCUGCCGAAACCUUGAUUUGAGCCUCGUAAUCCCCUGAGCAAAGAACCUGGCGAUGCCAUGCCCGACUUCCCACCUACAGAACUAUGAGCUAAUAGAAUGGAAAUUACAUUAAAACAAACAGCCGAUGAAAGCUGCUGCUGACCCAUACAGCGGCCCUCUACAGUCGGUAGACCCAAAGUGGAUGAUGGAUGGACUGCAGAAUAUGGAGCCUAAUAGCCAGUGCAAAAACUCAUAUGUAUUGACACUGGCACCUCAGCACCUGCCAUUGGCAAAGGAAGAAGGGCUUCUGCCUCCCCUCCGCCUUCCAGAUCACGGGUAUUUGUAAUUUUGUAUUCUUUUACCGAAAGAAGGCCUCCACAAUCAACAGAGGAUGGCAGAGCAGAAAGAUAGAAUCCUGGCCACUCUUGACCCUUGGAAGUCCAUGGCAGCUCUGGAUGGCCCACCACCAGACUCCUUUUAUUUGUGGGAGAAAUAAAUCUCUAUCUUGUUUAAAUGACCAAUGUUUUGGCUUUUCUGUUAUGAGCCACCAAACAGAAUCUAACCUGAUAAGCCCUUUGACUCAGCAGUUCUACUUCCAGGAAUUUAUUCUACAGAUGGACUGGCCCAUAUACAAGAUGAUACAUGGUCAAGGUCAUUCAUUGCAGCAGAAGAUUGGAAACAAUCUGUAUGUCCAUCAAUGGAGACUGGUUAAAUAAAUUAUUUGCAUCCAUACAGUGAAAUAGUAAAGCAUCCUAUAUUAGCAGGAAGCUUGUCAUAUCGAUAUGAAAUGAUCUCUAAGGUGUACUGUUAAGAGAAAAAAGUAAGGGCAGAACAGUGUGAAUA